rnacentral:rRNA from 1 species
UACGUAGGGGGCAAGCGUUGUCCGGAUUUACUGGGCGUAAAGAGCGCGCAGGCGGUCGUUCAAGUCGAGUGUGAAAGCCCCCGGCUCAACUGGGGAGGGUCACGCGAUACUGCUCGACUUGAAGGCAGGAGAGGGAAGUGGAAUUCCCGGUGUAGUGGUGAAAUGCGUAGAUAUCGGGAGGAACACCAGUGGCGAAGGCGACUUCCUGGCCUGUUCUUGACGCUGAGGCGCGAAAGCUAGGGUAGCAAAACGGG